UACGGGGGGAGCAAGCGUUGUUCGGAUUUACUGGGCGUAAAGGGCGCGUAGGCGGCCACCGCAAGUCGACUGUGAAAUCUCCGGGCUUAACCCGGAAAGGUCAGCCGAUACUGCGGGGCUAGAGUGCAGAAGGGGCAACUGGAAUUCUCGGUGUAGCGGUGAAAUGCGUAGAUAUCGAGAGGAACACCUGCGGCGAAGGCGGGUUGCUGGGCUGACACUGACGCUGAGGCACGAAGGCCAGGGGAGCAAACGGG
rnacentral:rRNA from 1 species